rnacentral:rRNA from 1 species
GCGGCAGACGGGUGAGUAACGCGUGGGAACCUUCCCAGUGGUGCGGAAUAGCUCAGGGAAACUUGAGGUAAUACCGCAUAAGCCCUUAGGGGGAAAGAUUUAUCGCCAUUGGAUGGGCCCGCGUAGGAUUAGCUAGUUGGUGAGGUAAUGGCUCACCAAGGCGACGACGGGUAGCCGGCCUGAGAGGGUGACCGGCCACACUGGAACUGAGACACGGUCCAGACUCCUACGGGAGGCAGCAGUGGGGAAUAUUGCACAAUGGGCGAAAGCCUGAUGCAGCAACGCCGCGUGAGGGAUGAAGGCCUUCGGGUUGUAAACCUCUUUUAGCAGGGAAGAAGCGAAAGUGACGGUACCUGCAGAAAAAGCACCGGCUAACUACGUGCCAGCAGCCGCGGUAAUACGUAGGGUGCAAGCGUUGUCCGGAAUUAUUGGGCGUAAAGAGCUCGUAGGCGGUUUGUCACGUCUGCUGUGAAAAUCCGAGGCUCAACCUCGGACUUGCAGUGGGUACGGGCAGGCUAGAGUGCGGUAGGGGAGAAGGGAAUUCCUGGUGUAGCGGUGGAAUGCGCAGAUAUCAGGAGGAACACCAAUGGCGAAGGCACUUCUCUGGGCCGUAACUGACGCUGAGGAGCGAAAGCGUGGGGAGCGAACAGGAUUAGAUACCCUGGUAGUCCAC